CGCUGAGGAGAGGGGCCGCGGUCCGCCCCGCGCCCGCCGCGCUCUGCGCCCCGCGCGUCCCGCCCUUGCCGGUCGGCCCGCGCUGCGUCAUGCCGAGUACUGCUCGGCGCUAGUGCCCGGGGCCGCCGCCAGCCCUGCCGUCCGCAGCCGCGCCCACCGCCCAGAGCCAGAGGGAUGGUGGUAGUCACAGGGCGGGAGCCAGACAACCGUCCCUCAGACGGUGCCAUGUCCAGCCCCGACGCGGAAGACGACUUUCUGGAGCCAGCCACCCCGACGGCCACGCAGGCAGGGCACGCGCUGCCCCUGCUGCCCCAGGAGUUUCCUGAGGUUGUCCCCCUCAACAUUGGAGGGGCCCACUUCACCACCCGCCUGUCCACCCUGCGGCGCUACGAAGACACCAUGCUGGCAGCCAUGUUCAGCGGGCGGCACUACAUCCCCACCGACGCCGAGGGCCGAUACUUCAUCGACCGUGAUGGCACACACUUCGGAGACGUGCUGAAUUUCCUGCGCUCAGGGGACCUGCCACCCCAGGAGCGUGUGCGGGCUGUGUACAGAGAAGCCCAGUAUUAUGCCAUCGGGCCCCUCCUGGAGCAGCUGGAGAACAUGCAGCCACUGAAGGGGGAGAAGGUGCGCCAGGCAUUUCUGGGACUCAUGCCUUAUUACAAAGACCAUUUGGAGCGGAUUGUGGAGAUCGCCCGUCUGCGCGCGGUACAGCGGAAGGCCCCCUUUGCCAAGCUCAAGGUCUGUAUCUUCAAGGAGGAGAUGCCCAUCACCCCCUACGAGUGUCCGCUCCUCAACUCUCUGCGCUUCGAGCGGAGUGAGAGUGACGGGCAGCUCUUUGAGCACCACUGUGAAGUAGAUGUGUCUUUUGGUCCUUGGGAGGCCGUGGCCGAUGUUUACGACCUGCUGCACUGCCUGGUCACGGACCUCUCGGCCCAGGGCCUCACUGUGGACCACCAGUGCAUCGGGGUGUGUGACAAGCACCUCAUCAACCACUACUACUGCAAGCGCCCCAUCUAUGAGUUCAAGAUCACGUGGUGCCCUACAGGUCUAACUGCACAGAUGUUCUCUGGAGCCUGACCACAUGGGAGGUGUGCCCAGGGCCGCAGUCCUCCUUGAGGGAUCCCUGGCAUCGAGAGAAGAACAGUUAAAUGGGCAGCUGUUUGUUUUGGCUCAGAGGAUGCUAUGUGCCUGGCUUGGAUCUCAUGGCCCUUGGAUUCUGGUUCUCUACACUGCCCAGAUGCCGUUAGCAUUGAAUUUCUCAGUAUCACAUCACAAAGGCCAACUGCACACCAGCUGACUGCCCCAAGGGCUCCUCAUCAUGUGCACGAGGUGGGUGCUUACUGUCGCUGCUCUCACUGUAUCAUCCCCACCUCUCCCCUCUGCUCAUGACUGUCUCCGUCUUGGGCAUAUUAAAGCUGGUUGGCCACUGGUGGCCAGCCAUGGCAGUGAUGCUGUGCCCUGGGUUGUCCCCAUGUGCUCCUUGCACUGAAGUCCCUGACUUUCAAUUUGGCUUUCACCUCUGGCCUGCUAGGAUUUGGAGGGCAUUGUCAGCCUCCCUCUCUAAGCUCUGUGUCACCUCUGUGGCAGGAGUAGAGGACACCUUCAGGACCCCUCACUCCACCCUCCAAUCAGACAAGGUAGCUCCACCCUCUUCUUACCCAAGAAGGGAAAAUCAAAUAUUUUGCCUGGAAACCAAGUUAACCAAGAGCUUCGUAACAAAAAUAUGGACGUAUCUGGUGAGCUGACAACAUCACUAUUAGCUGAAAUGAGGGUGACUGUAUUCACUUCACACUUCCAGAAGUCCCCUAUUGCCUAACUUUAUUCUGCAGUGUGCAGUGUGAGAUGGAAACUCAUGUUGGUCUAGAGAGGUAGAGCAAUGAGAAAUCUUCUCAGCAGUUCCCUGCAGGAAUAUUCUACCAUUACCAUAGAAGGCCAGCCUUCAGCCCAGAGAUUCUGCUGGGAAGGGGCUUAUGACCUGACUUUGAACCCUUGUCAGCACCGUUCCUGCUGGGAUGACAAUCCUGACCUUUUUGUUGGCAGGAUUGCCCCUGAGACAGCACUAAAUUUGGGUAUUGAGAUCCAGAGAUAAAAGACAAUCCAAACAAAGUAUUUGCAUGAGGAUGAGAACACAAGAGUAAGUUAUGUUCCUCGAGUGGAAGGCUUUCCAGAUACUCAGCAGGAAUUCUGGAGUUUUCAGGCACUACUGGCCAUUUGUUCAUGACCCUCAGUUUCCUCCCUUGACCAUUCUAUCUUUUUAGGAAACUAGCCCAUACUUAAGGACCCAGCAUUCCAAUAGCUGAAAACCUAUGCGUAUUUUCUCCUAUCUUGGCCUUACAUCUCCAGGAUACACUUCAGUACCUUAGUAGGAGUCACAAAGAGGUGCAUGCUUGGGCAGCCCCUCUCCCUCAUUUCUCUGUCUCCAUGAUGCUGGUAUUGGCUGAGGCUAGCAGCCCUUGCAAUACAUGUGAGAGUUGCAAUAUAAUCAACAGGUUCAAGGUCUAAAGGCAACAUUUGAAAGAUCCCCUUUAGUGAUGUCUGUCCACAGAAGCAUGGAGUAGCAUGGUGAACCUCAGAACGUGGACCACAACAGUCAGAGUGGGCCAUGUUUUUUCAAACAUUUUGGCUUUAGAAGACACCCCAUUAUGUAUGCAAGACCUCAAGAGACCAGCAGAGAAAUUCCAGCUCUGUUGUAGCUGACUGAGAGAAACCACUGCAAACUGUAAGUAAGUACCUGUGUAUAGCAGAGACUGGUGAAAACUCAGAGCCUCCCAAACUGGACACCAGAAGGGACUGAGUUCUCUUAGGAUGGAUAACUGGGUGUUCCAGGAGAGGAAGACUGAACUCAGGUGCUGCUGCCCACCCCAAUGCCAUCCCAUGUGACUUCACAUCUCAGUCAUCCAAAAUGGAAAAUGACAUAAAGACUUCUUGGGACCUUACAUCUGACCUCAGUCUACACUGUCUCCUUGGGUGAUGUUGCCUGAAUUGCAUUUAGUAUCAUUUGUAUCUGUCAUGGUCUGAUCAGGAGAGAGAAGCCACACAGUAAUUUAAACAUGGAAGGUUUACUACAAGUAACUGUUAGGGGAUUUGAGUGAUGAAAGAUUGGAUAAUAAAGAGUAAAAAGGACGUAAGAAUAGUAGAUAUAAGGAGCAGCCACUGUUUGCUCUAAGGUUGAGAUAGAGGGCCCAAGGAAGAACUGCCCCCCAUCCCAGGGAUGAGAUCCAGACCUUGUUGGACAGGGCAUGACCGUGGCUCACUGACUGGCCCACAAGUCAGUGGAGUGCUGUGCUGGUAGAACUUGCUAGAGAUCUACCCUCCAAAGUGUUGGGGGAAACUGUCCUUGGGCAAGUAUUGCUGGAGGCAUCCCACUACAGAACUUCCCAAGGCGGGUGCUGGGGAAAGCUGCUGGCCUGUUUGCUGCUGACACUAUACAAGCCUGGUGCUGGAGAAACUAUAUGUACUGUGAGAAAGCACACGGGCCAGAAAGGAAAACACAUUUUCACCUGUUCACAUCACCAUCAUCUCUCACCCUGCAUUAUACAAAGACAUCUUGGUUUAAUUAGGCCCCUGAUUACUCCCCCUUUAACCUAUUUUCCAGAAUGAUCUCUCCUGCAAUGUCUCACCAGAGCCCUCUACUGAUAAAGCUUAACAUCAUGUCAGCUCGCAAAGGGAAAAAUAAUCAAAGGUUGCAGCUCCGUUUUUGCAGAGCAGGCAAUGAGAGUGAAUUUGGAGCUGAGAGGCAAUAAAUUGAUAUCUGGCAUAUCAUUUAUAUGCCUAUGACUCCCAAAUUUAUACUCUUUCCCCAGGACUCUUCCCUCAGCCUGGAGUUAUACACCAAACCACAUGCGAAGUAUUGUUAUUUAAAUAUCUAUUGGCCAUAUCAAACUUAAUAUAUCCAAAAUGAAACUCUUGAUUUCUCCUCCUCACCCUAAACAUCUUCAUUCCAUUUUCCCUAUCUUGGGAAAUGGCACCACUAUCCACCUAGUCAGCAAAAACCUGGGAAUCAUCUUUGACUCCUCUCCUCACCUCAUCUUCCACAAACAAUCCAUUGUUAAGUGCUAUUGAUUCCAUCUUCAAGAUAUAUCUCAAAUCCAGUCACAUUUUUACCUGUUCAGAUCACCAUCAUCUCUCACCCUGCAUUAUACAAAGACAUCCUGGUUUAAUUAGGCCCCUGAUUACUCCCCCUUUAACCUAUUUUCCCAAAUGAGCUCUUAAAAGGGUUGAUUAGUUCUUGGAAUAUCACUACUUUAAAGCCUUUGCUUUUAGAAUAAAGUUGAAAAAAAAAAUUGAAUACACUUACCAUGUUUGAUCUGGUUUCUGCUCAGCUCUCUCCAGUCUCACUCCACCCAGCUCCUCACUUUCCAUCCUCCAGUCACCCUGGGCUCUGUUUGGUCCUUUCCCUGAGUCUGUGAUUGGCAUUCCGUCUGAUUGGAAUGCCCUUUCCCCAGCCCUUUAUAGCUGGCUCAUUUUCAUAUUUUAGGUCAGAAAGGAUCAGCUCAAAUGUCACAUCCUCAGUGAUAAGUCACAUCUAUCAUAUCACCCUGUUUAUUUCCUUUAUAGCAUUUAUUACGAAUUGGAAUUAUCUAAUUUCUUUUGUCUCAUUCCCUUUCAAUUAAUCCCCUUGUGGUCAGGGACUCUGCUUCUGUAGUUCACAGCCCUAUCCUCAAAGCUUAGAACAGUGCCUGGCACAACAAUAUGAUCAGUCAAGAUCUGUUGCAUGAAUAAAUACCUGUGAUAUGUGGGUCAAUGGCAGGCCUAAAAAGUUCACAUCAGCAGUAUCCAUUCUUCACUCGGGAUGACUGCAGGGAUAACCGUUUGACAGCUCUGAUUACACAUGUCAUCAGCAUACAUCACUGCACUAGUCCCUGGUCUGUAUCUGUCCCCACCAGAGACUGAAGAAUGUAGACUCGUAAGUAUUGACCUUUGCAAGGUCUUGGUGCAUGGGGAUGCCAACUGGAGGAGAGUUCAUGGGAACUACCAGCAUCUGAAGAGUGUAGGUGAACGCAGAGGGGCUUUCCAUGGACUGGGCGUGGGAAAUCCCAGUCAUACUUCCUGGGGCCUAAGGUAGGGUCUGGGUGAGACUCUGGCCUGGCCACAGAGAAAGUUAAGGGCUUGCUGUGAGCUUAUCUCUGGUAAGUAGGGUUUGCUGUCUCCUCUCAGGGUGUCCAGCUUUGACCUCUUUGCAUUCUUGGUGAUCAGUUCACUCUUCUCUGGCUCUCACUGGUUUGCUCUAUGCUCUGUCCUCUGCCCUGAGCUCAGUGUUUUCAGCCACAUUGGGUAAGGGAUAUCUUUGGUCACUCUUAGCCCAUUAUUCCUGAAUCUUAGCCAGGAUUCUCUCCCAUCUUAAGUUUCAUUCUCUGUGUAUGUGUGUACAUAUAUAAACACAUAUAUUUAUAUAUACAUAUGCAUGUAUACAUACAUACAUGUUUAUAUGUAUAUACUGUUGGUAUAAGCAGAUACUGUCUUCAGAAAUGGUCACAGUUGUUGGUUCUGGGAGUGAAACAAUGUCUGAAAGACAAGCGUGGAAAGGAGACUUUCUGACCUGAACCAUGUGAAUGCAUUAGCUUUUAAAAAUUUUUUAGAAUGGUACCCUCACCACCACCACCAAUCCUGCUAUUGAAUCACUCUUUGUUUAUGCAACAUAUAUUUAGGUGUCUACCUUGGACUAAGCAUUAUGCAGCGUGAUCCCAAGAAAUUCUGAACCAUUAUGUAUAUUUUGACAUAUUAUGUCCAGGCUUGUGUGUGUGUUAAUGUGAUUAUACAUACCACUUGGUAAACUGCCCUUUUCACUUAAUACAUUGUGAUGCAAAACAAAACACAUUUUUCCCAAAUAAUUUUGAAAAUAUUUAUUUCACUAAAUGAUACAGGCAUAUAUUUGUAAGAAUCAAACAGUUCAAAACGGUAGAUGGUGAAAUGUAACUCUCUCUCCUAUCCCUGUCUCCCAAGCCUUGGUUAUCCUUUCCAGAAGCAAUCACUAUUACAGUUUCUUAUAAAUUCUCUUAGAGAGGCUGCUGCCCCCCUUCUCUUUUUAACAAUUUGAUAGUUUUCCAUUGAAAGUAUGUUUCAACAAAGAACUUUUUGUAAGAUAAGAAAAUAAGUUCCUCUUUUGGAGUCUAGUGUAAAAAAAAAGAGGAGGGGGACCAUUUUAACCCCUUUUCUAAUUUAUAUUAUAAUGGUUUGAUAUUAGGUUUUAUGUGGGUCAGGAAUUCAGGAAGGACUCAACUAGGGGGCUGGCUUGACUGGCUCAGGCUGGAAGGAUCUUCUUGCUAGAUGGCUUCUUCAUGCACCUGUCUGUUGCCUUGGGGCUCCUUGGCCUCUCUCUUUCCACAUGGCUUCUCAUCCACCAGGGCCUUGCCACAUAUUGGGUUCUCCCAGUAUGUUGGUGUCAGGGUAGUCACACUGAUCCUAGUUUUUGAUGAACUGAAACAUAUAGCAAGUAGAAAAGUAAUUGUCCUGCUCCAUGAUACUGAUAUGAUUUUAUCACAAACCAGAUAAAUCUUGUCAAGAAAGAUUUAUUAUUUUUAUCUAAUUGCUGCUAGAAAUAAUGGAUCAAUAUUAUGUAAAGUUAAAAUUCCUGUCUCAGACACACAUUAUUAAAAUUUAAGCGAUGGCAUAAUUUGAGCAUCAAAACAAAUAACUAUAGUAAUGGGCUAUAAUUCAUUACAAGAAUUCAUGAAUUCAUGCUGACACAAAUAGUUACAUAAAAGAGGGAGAAAGGAAGCUGUUAGAGUAAAAUGCUAGUCAAUAAAAGAAGGGAUGAUGAAGUUAGAAAAUCACCAUUUAUAACCAAUACAGACAGGACUCAUCAGUGGAUGCUAAAACUGAUGAAUGAAACUUUGAAGACAAGUAGGAUAUUUACAUAGUCUCAAAGUAUUUCCCCACAAAUUACUUAAUUACAAAGGAAGACAUAGUAACUUCACAGUGGAGACACCUGGAAGGCCCCACUUGAAUCAUGUAACCAACUUUAACAUCUGUCAAAAUAGGACAGACUGACAUCACGUGUGCCUCCUGUCACACUGCACAGAGGACACAACAAUACUUAUGUGAUUUUUCUGCAAAAAAAACAACUUGCGUCUAAUCACUAGGAAACAUGAGACAAACCCAAAUUGAGGCACAGUCUUCAAAAGGACUAUCCUAUGCUUUUUAAAAAAGUCAAGGUCAUAAAAGACAAAGAAAGAUGGAAGAAUUGUUCUAGAUUAAAGAAGAAUAGAGACAUGACAAUUUAAGAGAUCCUGGAUUGGAUUUGGGACCAGGAAAAAAAAGCUAUAAAGGACAUUAUUGGGACAAUUGAUGAAAUUCGAAUAAGGACUAUGGAUUAAAUAAUAGCAUUGAAUCAAUGUUAAUUGUUCUCAUUUUGAUAAUUACAAUUUGUUUUGUAAGAGAAUAACAUCCUUAUUCUUAGGAAAUACACACUGAAAUAUAUAGGAGUUGAGGAGCAGAAUGUCUGCAACAGAGAGUGCGAUUGAGUACAUGAUAAAAUGGACAAAAUUUAAACAAUUUUUGAAUCUGGGUAAAGGGUAUAUGGGAAUUCUUUGUGUUAUUCUUGCAACUUUUCUAGACGUUUGAAAUUAUAUUGAAAGAAGUUACAAAAAAUAUAAACCAUGAGUACUAAAUAACUCCAUUUAGUAGUUUUACUUGUGACAAAUGAUGGGAGGCUAUGUAAUAUAGAAUCAUAGGGGCAUGACAAAUUUUUCUGUGUCCGAGGGGGGCAAAUGAGACCAACAGUCUCUCCAUGUCCAAUAUCGUGAGAGUCUGAAAUCUCUGUUGAGGGACCAAUCCAAAGAUAGUGGUGAGAUUAUAAUAAUAUCAUACAGGAAAAUACAAGGAAGAACAUAACCAUUAUUAACUCUGGAGAGUGCUGUUCCAGAUCUCUCUCCACUUAGGUAAACGCACAGAUAGAUAAAUGGAUAGACAAAGUGAUUUGCUGACCAACAGCUCUUCCCGUUUUCCCUCUUCAGAUCAGGUUUGAACUUUAUGCUUCAGGGCAUAGUGGGAGCUUGCCACUUCCCUGGGGAGAAUCUUGAUUACGUUUAGGCAAAUAAGAUGAUAAUUGCAGUGAUAGGAUUAGAAAUGGCCAUGCACACCUUUUGUUUAAAAAAAAAGGAAAAGG